rnacentral:rRNA from 1 species
GAUGAACGCUGGCGGCGUGCCUAAUACAUGCAAGUCGAGCGAACGGACGAGAAGCUUGCUUUUCUGAUGUUAGCGGCGGACGGGUGAGUAACACGUGGAUAACCUACCUAUAAGACUGGGAUAACUUCGGGAAACCGGAGCUAAUACCGGAUAAUAUUUUGAACCGCAUGGUUCAAAAGUGAAAGACGGUCUUGCUGUCACUUAUAGAUGGAUCCGCGCUGCAUUAGCUAGUUGGUAAGGUAACGGCUUACCAAGGCAACGAUGCAUAGCCGACCUGAGAGGGUGAUCGGCCACACUGGAACUGAGACACGGUCCAGACUCCUACGGGAGGCAGCAGUAGGGAAUCUUCCGCAAUGGACGAAAGCCUGACGGAGCAACGCCGCGUGAGUGAUGAAGGUCUUCGGAUCGUAAAACUCUGUUAUUAGGGAAGAACAUAUAUGUAAGUAACUGUGCACAUCUUGACGGUACCUAAUCAGAAAGCCACGGCUAACUACGUG